rnacentral:rRNA from 1 species
CUGGCGGCGUGCCUAACACAUGCAAGUCGAACGAAGUAUAUUUUCGGAAUGUACUUAGUGGCGGACGGGUGAGUAACGCGUGAACAAUCCGCCCUAUACAAAGGAAUAGCCUCGGGAAACUGGGAUUAAAACCGUAUGACACUUUUAAGUCGCAUGACAUAGAAGCCAAAUUGAAUAAGAGGUAUAGGAUGAGUUCGCGUCUGAUUAGCUAGUUGGUGGGGUAAAGGCCUACCAAGGCGACGAUCAGUAGCCGGCCUGAGAGGGUGAACGGCCACACUGGAACUGAGACACGGUCCAGACUCCUACGGGAGGCAGCAGUGGGGAAUAUUGCACAAUGGAGGAAACUCUGAUGCAGCGACGCCGCGUGAGUGAAGAAGGUCUUCGGAUCGUAAAACUCUGUCCUUGGUGAAGAAGAAAAUGACGGUAGCCAAGGAGGAAGCCCCGGCUAACUACGUGCCAGCCGCGGC